CUGCUGUUAAUAUGUGUGAUGAGAAGGCCUGAUUUUUAGUGGACAUACUGUUUUAAGUUUAGUGGGGACAGUUAUAUCUAUUGAUUUUCAUUAAACGUCUCGUUUUUGUCAUAAUUUUAAUGUAAUUGGACUGAGAAUAAUAGUUCCAUUAGAAAUACAACAAGAAGUAUUAAACAAAAUCUAUGAAGAUCAUCAGGGGAUAAAAAAAUGUACGACUAAAGCAAG